UAAAAACAGACACAUAGACCAAUGAAACAGAAUAGAGAGCCCAGAAAUAAGACCACUCACCUACAACGAUAUGAUCUUUGACAAAGCUGACAAAACAAGCAAUGGGAAAAGGACUCCCUAAUCAAUAAAUGGUGCCAGGAUAACUGGCUAGCCAUAUGCAGAAGACUGAAACUUGUCCCCUUCCUUACAACAUAUACAAAAAUUAACUCAAGG
rnacentral:lncRNA from 1 species